GCGAGCGUAGUUCAGUGGUAAAACAUCUCCUUGCCAAGGAGAAGAUGCGGGUUCGA
rnacentral:tRNA from 6 species